rnacentral:rRNA from 1 species
CCGAACCCGGAAGCUAAGACUCUCAGCGCCGAUGGUACUGCAAGGGGGACCUUGUGGGAGAGUAGGACACCGCCGGAC